UGAGAUUUAUAAAUGUCUUCAUAUGUAAGAUUUAUUAAGCCAGUGACAGCCUGUCUGAUGAGGAUGGCGUGAUUGCACAUGAGUGAGCGCCAGAAAACGUGUUGUCGUGAUGGACGGCUGCCAGGAUCUUUCUACAGACGCUCACCUAUAUUCAGCGCAGUGUUUCUGUAACGCUUUUAACCCCGACUGCUCUGCAAGCUGUUCAAAAUGGUAAUGAUGUGAGAUCCCAAACCGCCGACUGAUUUAG
rnacentral:lncRNA from 1 species